rnacentral:sRNA from 1 species
GCUGGGCACCAUGGCACAUGCCUGUUAUCCCAGCUACUAGGAAGACUGAGGCAGGAGGAUUGCAAGUUUGAGGCCAGCAUCAGCAACUUAGUGAGACCCUGUCUCAU